UUCCAGAAACCUGCUCAGCCAGCUCCUGAUGGAGAACAUAUGUAUGAAGAAGUUGUUCCCACUGAAGCAGGAGAGCAAGGAGGUACAUCUUGAUUGUGCACUGAACCAGAAAAAUUUGGUUGACUUCAACAAGAAAGAUAAAGACCAGCAACGUCCAGACCCAGCAUCAUCUGGUCUCAGAAAGUGCAAGAGAGCUGGAAUUGGACACACAGCAGUAAGAGAGCUUCCUGAAGAAUAAGUUGCUUUCUCAGGAGUCCCUGAUGACAAACAUCCUGAAUGAAAAAAGCACCUGAGAGACAACUUGGGGGACCGCCUUUCAUUAUGUGUGCAAGAGGAGAAACAGCAAUCCAUCUGUGCUUCCAAAUGUUCAUUAAGAUUGUGGUGUUUAGAAAUAUUUUUGUUAUGAUUUUAAUUGAAAUUUUCUUUUUGUUGUUUCAUAUUUAUAUGUUCUUGUUACUGUUUUUAUCUUUUCAAAUAUUUUUAAAUAUUUUAAUUUAUUUGUUUUAAUCCUGUUUUGUUGUAAAAAUGAAUUCCUUAUGAAUAAAAAUUGAAUUCUA